UUUCCCUUGUUUCACAAAACGCUAACCCUUCCUCGUGAACUCAACCUUCUUCUCUCGUGCCGCUCGCUUCCCCUUUUGCUCUUCUUCUUCGUAAAACAAAAUGAACCAUGACACCCUCUCCGUUUCUGAUCAGAAUGCCGCCGUGAUUCGAGUUCUGACCAACUCCGUUCGUUGGCUUCGACGCCUCUCUCCAUCUUCGAUUCUGCUUCACCCAUAGUCGUCACAAAUCUCGUCCUCUUCGUCCAUUCGUUGUGGAUUUCUCUUCUGCAAUUCCGAGGAAGAUGUAGAUCGUGGUUGCUCGGUUUACGUUUGGGUCGCAAGCGAAAUGCGAAGAUAACGAUGAUAUUGUUGAAGGUUCUUACGAUCGAAGCUCAAAGUGUUGAAGAAGCAGAGAGUCCUCUUUGAAUCUUCUGUUCUUGAGAGAAUUGAGCCGGUGAUGGUUCUUCUUGUUGAUAAGGAAAAGGGUUACAUCGAUCUCAGUAAACGUAGGAUUUCUGAAGAAGAUAUUCAAGCUUGUGAAGAAAGGCAUAAUAACAGUAAACCUUGAACCUCGAUUUAGAGAUCUUUAUCUUGAAAAAAGAUGGCAGCAGAGUUAGUCAUUGGUGCAACAAGCGACAAAUGAUCUGAAACGGAUUGGACGAAAAAUAUUGAAAUAUAUGAGUUGGUUGCACGUGAUAAAAGGUACGACAAAGCUGUCAUAUGGUUAAUUGGUUAUGUUCCUUUCUGAUCGAUCAAUGUUGUAAAACGUCAGGAAAUAUGUUGUUGAUGUUGAUUGUAUAUUAGGAUAAUCAUGCUAGUUCACAGCCUAGUAGGACUGGUAGUGUACCAAACAGGUAGUAGGCUUCACCUAGACAUGAUUUCUGUAACUUUGUAGGACCUUUCAACAAUUUUUGAUGCUCCUGAUCCAACUGGUCUUAAUCUUCUAACGGUGAGUUUCAUUUUUUCCCUAAUUUUUGGUUGAAGAUCCUUAGGUUUUACUGCACUGCAUUUGCCACACCAUGCUUUGAGGGUGCUGCAAUAAUUCUCCCUUAUUUAUUAUAGAAUAUAUCCUAAUUGAAUAUGAAUGCAUUUACAACAUUAAGUUGAAAUCGCUUGUAUAUUUUCAUGGAAGGUGAACUGGGGUUGGUGUUACAAGCGUAGCACAGAACAUCUUUAAUGCUUUAUCUAAGAUGCUGAGGGACCCGCUGCCUAUGUCACAUGACACACUAAAAUUAAACUAAGCACAAUUAGCCAUAGAAGAAAAACAAUACUGAAAAUAUGGCCUAUAAGAUUAAGAAGCAAGUGUUGUAUCAAUUUCAAUUUAGAUCACAUUUUCACUAUACUAACUUCCAGAACUAUAAUUUAUAUUAUACUGAGACAUUUUUGUAUUUUUACUUUAAGAAAAUACUCUUAAACCAAGACCAACUUAUCUGUUUCUAUUCUCUAGAGCUAAUUUAAAAUGAGUUUGGUUAAUAUUAUUUAUUUAAUAUGUAACAAAAUCAAGACCAGUAACAAUAUUGUGUCAUUUUAGCUAGACAAAUUAGCAAAUGGAAAGAUGAAUUAUUUCUACAAUACACUAAUUGUUAGCUAUUUUGUCUUUUUGCAUUAUAAAGAAAUCUACUUGCAAAAAAUAUCCAAUUUAUUGAUAAAUAAAUUUAGAACACAUUUUCCUAUAUACCAAAAGAUCAUGUACCUAAAUCUUAUAGAACUAUUUCUCAUUACUUAAUUGGUACUUUCACAAAACUUCUCUAUUGUUCUAAAAAGACAGAAAACACUCCCUUUUUCUCUUGAAGGAUAUUUCUUCUGUGUGUAAGGUACGGGGUUUAUAGAAGCAAAGAAGAUGGAUUUGUGACAAAAGAUCCCUUCGAAAGUAUCCAAGGUAGAACAUAUUAUUAGAGAGCAGAACAUGAUAGAAAAAGUGAUUUACGUUCAAGCUAGCCAUUGGUUAAAAAUGAUGCCUUACAAAAUUGACUAAAUAGUAACUCGGGAAUGAUGUAUUUGUUUUAUAACAACAAUACAAAAUGCACUUUGUUUAUGUUGGUGUUUGGUUAGUAACUACUAAUGUUCUUUCCCACUAUUGAAAUAAACUAUUAUAAGCUCUCUGUGAUAGGUUAUGAAAACAUCUUGUAACUUUAUUUUAAAACUUAUAUAUAGAACCUUACUCUCUUUGGUUACUAUAAUAAAGGGCUUAUAUAUUGCUUUCAUGAGAUUGGAUUCCAAAUUUUGAAAGUCUUAUAAUGUUUACUGUUGUACAUCUCACUUU